rnacentral:rRNA from 1 species
AUGAACGCUGGCGGCGUGCCUAACCCCUGCAAGUCGAACGGAGUCCAGCCUUUAAGACCUUCGGGUCAAAGAGGGGAAGACUGAGUGGCGGACGGGUGAGUAACACGUGGGCAACCUGGCUCAUAGAGGGGGAUAACAGAGAGAAAUUUCUGCUAAUACCGCAUAAGCACACACUGCCGCAUGGCAGAGGGUGAAAAGAGAAUCGCUAUGAGAUGGACCCGCGUCUGAUUAGCCAGUUGGCAGGGUAAGAGCCUACCAAAGCGACGAUCAGUAGCCGAUCUGAGAGGAUGAACGGCCACAUUGGGACUGAGACACGGCCCAAACUCCUACGGGAGGCAGCAGUGGGGGAUAUUGCACAAUGGGGGGAACCCUGAUGCAGCGACGCCGCGUGAGUGAAGAAGUAUUUCGGUAUGUAAAGCUCUAUCAGCAGGGAAGAUAAUGACAGUACCUGAAUAAGAAGCCCCGGCUAACUACGUG